rnacentral:rRNA from 1 species
ACCGGCGGCUCGAGUGGUGGCCACUAUUACUGGGCUUAAAGCGUUCGUAGCUGGCUUGUUAAGUCUCUGGGGAAAUCUUCCGGCUCAACCGGAAGGCGUCUCAGGGAUAAUGGCAGGCUAGGGACCGGAAGAGGUGAGAGGUACUCCAGGACGGCGAGUGCCAUCCUCUGAUCCGUGGGGGACGACCGGAGGCGGAGGCGGCAAACCAGGACAUCACCCACAGUAAUCAACAUAAACUAGUGGAACAAGCAG